rnacentral:rRNA from 1 species
GCUCAGGACGAACGCUGGCGGCGUGCUUAACACAUGCAAGUCGAACGAUGAUGCCCAGCUUGCUGGGUGGAUUAGUGGCGAACGGGUGAGUAACACGUGAGUAACCUGCCCCUGACUCUGGGAUAAGCGUUGGAAACGACGUCUAAUACUGGAUAUGACUGCCGGCCGCAUGGUCUGGUGGUGGAAAGAUUUUUUGGUUGGGGAUGGACUCGCGGCCUAUCAGCUUGUUGGUGAGGUAAUGGCUCACCAAGGCGACGACGGGUAGCCGGCCUGAGAGGGUGACCGGCCACACUGGGACUGAGACACGGCCCAGACUCCUACGGGAGGCAGCAGUGGGGAAUAUUGCACAAUGGGCGAAAGCCUGAUGCAGCAACGCCGCGUGAGGGAUGACGGCCUUCGGGUUGUAAACCUCUUUUAGUAGGGAAGAAGCGAAAGUGACGGUACCUGCAGAAAAAGCACCGGCUAACUACGUGCCAGCAGCCGCGGUAAUACGUAGGGUGCAAGCGUUGUCCGGAAUUAUUGGGCGUAAAGAGCUCGUAGGCGGUUUGUCGCGUCUGCUGUGAAAUCCCGAGGCUCAACCUCGGGCUUGCAGUGGGUACGGGCAGACUAGAGUGCGGUAGGGGAGAUUGGAAUUCCUGGUGUAGCGGUGGAAUGCGCAGAUAUCAGGAGGAACACCGAUGGCGAAGGCAGAUCUCUGGGCCGUAACUGACGCUGAGGAGCGAAAGCGUGGGGAGCGAACAGGAUUAGAUACCCUGGUAGUCCACGCCGUAAACGUUGGGCGCUAGAUGUAGGGACCUUUCCACGGUUUCUGUGUCGUAGCUAACGCAUUAAGCGCCCCGCCUGGGGAGUACGGCCGCAAGGCUAAAACUCAAAGGAAUUGACGGGGGCCCGCACAAGCGGCGGAGCAUGCGGAUUAAUUCGAUGCAACGCGAAGAACCUUACCAAGGCUUGACAUACACCGGAAACGGCCAGAGAUGGUCGCCCCCUUGUGGUCGGUGUACAGGUGGUGCAUGGUUGUCGUCAGCUCGUGUCGUGAGAUGUUGGGUUAAGUCCCGCAACGAGCGCAACCCUCGUUCUAUGUUGCCAGCGCGUUAUGGCGGGGACUCAUAGGAGACUGCCGGGGUCAACUCGGAGGAAGGUGGGGGAUGACGUCAAAUCAUCAUGCCCCUUAUGUCUUGGGCUUCACGCAUGCUACAAUGGCCGGUACAAAGGGCUGCGAUACCGUAAGGUGGAGCGAAUCCCAAAAAGCCGGUCUCAGUUCGGAUUGAGGUCUGCAACUCGACCUCAUGAAGUCGGAGUCGCUAGUAAUCGCAGAUCAGCAACGCUGCGGUGAAUACGUUCCCGGGCCUUGUACACACCGCCCGUCAAGUCAUGAAAGUCGGUAACACCCGAAGCCGGUGGCCUAACCCUUGUGGAAGGAGCCGUCGAAAGUGGGAUCGGUGAUAGGAUAU